AUUGAACGCUGGCGGCAGGCCUAACACAUGCAAGUCGAACGAGUGGCGGACGGGUGAGUAAUGUCUGGGAAACUGCCCGAUGGAGGGGGAUAACUACUGGAAACGGUAGCUAAUACCGCAUACCAUCGGAUGUGCCCAGAUGGGAUUAGCUAGUAGGUGGGGUAAAGGCUCACCUGGGCGACGAGCCCUAGCUGGUCUGAGAGGAUGACCGGCAACAUGGGAACGGGGACACGGCCCGAACUCCUACGGGAGGCGGCAGUGGGGAAUAUUGCACAAUGGGGGCAAGCCUGAUGCACCACUGCCGCGUGUAGGAAGAAGUCCUUCGGGUUGUAAAGUACGUUCAGAGGGGAGGCGUUACCCGCCGAAGAAGCACCGGCUAACUCCGUGCCAGCAGCCGCGGUAAUUC
rnacentral:rRNA from 1 species